ensembl:lncRNA
UGAGAAGUGGGAUAUUGCUCCUAAUGGAUUCCAAACACCACAAAAGUUUAUUAGGAAGCAGGGCAUCGUAAAGUGCGUCGGAGGUGGGAGUGAGGGCUUUUCUGGUGUGGCAGAUGCAAAUCUAAUGACAACAUCUGGAUGACUAUACAUGACCUUGGUCAGGCUCGACUAGUUGCUUUCAGACUGUAUAUUGGCUGCUGUUUGAUUCUAAAGAACACAAUGAAUCAGUGGAUUUUCCCAUACCAGUAUUGCUAAAGGCAUAUGUGCCACAGUAUAUCUAAAUCAUGGAGCUUCAUUGUUCUGGUUAUCCACACAGUUUCUCAACUGCUUGACCAAUUCAGGAUUGCAGGGAGGUUGGAAAGUAUGUUGGCUUCCACUGGCAAAGAUUCAGGGUACAUCCUGGGCAGGUUGCCAGUCCAUCACAGGUCCAACAUAAAGAGACAAACAACUGUACAUGCUUGAAUUCACAACUAUGGACUGUGAGGUAAAGGCUGAGUACACAAACAACAUGCAAACGCUACAUAGAAAGGGCGCAGUCAUGAAAGCCAAUGCAGGGCCUUCUUUGUGUGAUCAUCAUGCGGGGACUAUUAAAGAAACUCUUCCAUACUCUUCCAGACAGUUCGUGAAAUGUAUUAAGAAUCUGUAUACUUAUGGGCAACAAGUACCACAAAGAUCAAGAUAUGCAAUAAGAACCUGAUACAUCUUAUUCCCAUUUGCCAUAAAUAUUCUUUAGUACACAAAAACCAUCAAAAGCACAUCUCUGAGCAACACAGUGGAUUUCUUCCUGCACUGCAAUAAACAUGGC